rnacentral:rRNA from 1 species
GAUAAACGCUGGCGGCGCACAUAAGACGUGCAAGUCGAACGGACUUAACCAUUAGUUUACUAUUGGAGCGGUUAGUGGCGGACUGGUGAGUAACACGUAAGCAACCUGCCUAUCAGAGGGGAACAACAGUUAGAAAUGACUGCUAAUACCGCAUAUGCCUUAAUUAUCACAUGAUAAUAGAGGGAAAGGAACAAUCCGCUGAUAGAUGGGCUUGCGUCUGAUUAGAUAGUUGGUAAGGUAACGGCUUACCAAGUCGACGAUCAGUAGCCGACCUGAGAGGGUGAUCGGCCACACUGGGACUGAGACACGGCCCAG